AUGCAGACAAAUGAUGGUGCUAAAAGGGAUGAGCUUCAUUACUCGAACAAGCAUAUCUUGGAGAGCGCACAUUCAGCUUUUGUUUUGGUAGCUUUAGAGGAAAAUUACAGUAAGGAAGUUGGAGGCCUUAUCAAGUCCAACAUGUGGUCUCUGAAAAGACCUUAUGAAAGCCAGCCACAAAGCUUCAUAGAAGUGAGAGGAGGAGCCAUGAGAAUAGCUCCUUCGAGAUCCAGGGCUGUGGCUUCUUCUUGUCAGUUGAGAAGAAGCGUAUUUUUGCCGAAAACUGGCAAUGCCACCGGAGCAGCAGCAACAUCACUCAACCUGUUCAUGUUAGCCCCAGAUAAAUUAUCAUCCAUGCUGAACCCCGCGGACAAGGAUUCUGACCAAGACUCGCUGCUGGAGGUUGCCGCCGUCGCGGAGCUGGAUGAGGUCAUGGCGUCUUCAAGCUUUUUUAGGCUGAUGCUCCUCUGUCCACAGAAUCUCGGAGCAGCAAGGUGUGUUGCUGCUACUCCCUACACCUCUUGA
rnacentral:rRNA from 1 species